AUCAAAUCAUUUCAACUGUUCAAAGAACCAAACCAGUUAUCGUGAUUCUCAGUCGCUUCUCCUUCUCCGACGAGUCAUGUCUUCCGGCAGCGGCGGAAUUAAGCCGUUCUUCUGCCACGUGUGCAGUCGGAGAUUCACCUGCUCCGACGAUGACUCCGAGCCUUUCUGCCCGAUCUGCCUCGAAGGUUUUGUCGAAGAAUUGCCGCCAAAUAAUCCCAACCCUAACCCUAACGUCGCAUUGCAUUUCGGCUCCGACUCUUCCUCCGAUUCCGAUUUCCCCUUCCAUCCUCUCUCCCUUUUCCCUCUCUUGUUGUCCUCCGCCGUCGACUUCCAGAACCCUCACUCCGGUACCCGACCCGAAUCGGACAUGUUCGACCCGAUUCUCUUUCUCCAGAACCACCUCCAAGGCCUUCGCGCUGACGGAGCCAACGUUCAGUUCGAGGUUGACCACCCUGGCGAACCCGGGCUUCGCCUCCCUGCCAACCUCGGCGAUUACUUUCUUGGCCCCGGGUUGGAGCAGUUGAUCCAGCAGCUCGCCGAGAAUGAUCCGAACCGUUACGGGACGCCGCCGGCGUCGAAGGACGCCAUUGAGAAGCUGCCGACUGUGACCGUGGAUGAUGAGCUGCUGAGCUCGGAGCUGAACCAGUGUGCGGUUUGUCAGGACGAGUUUGAGAAGGGUACGCAGGUGAAGCAGAUGCCUUGCAAGCAUGUGUACCAUGAUGAGUGCUUGCUCCCCUGGCUUCAGUUGCACAAUUCUUGCCCUGUGUGUCGGUAUGAGUUGCCCACUGACGAUGCUGAUUAUGAGAAUCGGUCACAGGGGGACGGUGGUGAUGGGUCUGGGUCUGUUGGUGAGGGUGGUAGUGGUGGCAGUGGUGGCGGUGGAGGGGGAAAUAGACCUGUUCACAGGACUUUCAGAAUAUCUUUGCGGUAUCCUUUUGGUGGAGGUGGAGGUGACUCUGCUCAGGACAGUGGUGAAAGAGGAUGGGGAAAUAGGCAGGAGGGUUUGGAUUGAAAUUGGAAUAGAUAUUCAGAAGUUCAACUAAAUCACAGCAUAUGUAAUUCUUGGCUUUUAUCAUGGUAUUAAUUUGUGUUGAAAAACUGGAAACUAUGUUUAUGCAGCUCAGAGUUUCCGUGAAUAUAUUACUUGCAAUGUUAUGUUUACAAAGUCCUUAUAAGGAUUGUAAGAGAUAUUAUCAUCUGUGGCCUGUUACUUGCACAAUCAAAGGUCAAUUUUUUUUGUUUAAUCUAGUUGAUAGCUGGAAUAUGGGAUUUGCUUGCGUGAAAUCACAAGGUUAUGGAGCUUUUAGGUGCUGAUAUUGAUAACAUUUUUUCCCUGCUGGUUGUGUACAUAUCAUCUUCCAAUCAUCCAUUGUGGAGAACCAUAAUGUAUCUGCUGUCACCUUUUAUGCAAUGUUGGCAUAGACCAUAUUUCUCCUUUUGUUUA